UAUAGUAAUCAUAAACAACAAAUUGAAGUAUUGGUUAUUUCUCUCUCUCUUUGUGUAGAAGAGACAAAAUGAUACGAAGUUUUAAAUUCGUGUUGUCGUCUCACACUAAAAUAAGGAGUGAAGAAAACGGCGUUGAUCCAGACGAUGGAAAUUCUUGGAUGUGCAGUGCUUGUACGCUCCCAAUCUUCUCCACGCCCUUCAACAGAAUCAACACCAAACACGGUCAACUACUCCUGCACGAUCAAUGCGCUAAUCUCCCCAAGAUUUUGAUGGAUAAUGCGUUUCACCCCGGCGGGCCCCUCGUGCUCAAGGAAACUGGAUUCACCAUCAACAGAAUUUUGCGAUGGAUGUAGUGAAAAAUGCGGGAGUAUGUUCUAUCAAUGUCUUGAUUCUUCUUUGUGAUGUUCAACUCGACGUGUUGUGCAGUUUGCAGAUCAAAAUCUUGCACAGGAGCCACGAGCACAGGUUGACAGCGGUUAUAAGGGGCCCGGCUGCCUUCAGAUGCAGCGCGUGUGGAACGCAACAUGCAGGCCUAUUGUCUCCGUCGUAUCUGUGCACUCCUUGUGGUUUCUGGAUUCAUAAAGAUUGCGCUUCCUCACCUAAUGCUAUCCGACUAGUGCAACCGCAGCAGCAUCAGCAUUCUCUUUUUCUCACCUAUAAUAUUAAUGUAGCUGCUACUUCUGCUGGAGAUUGCAAAUGUGCAGUCUGUGGAAAAUAAUCUCGCGUGGAUUGGGUGCAUAUAUCUGUUACAAGUGUAAAUAUUAUGCUCAUAUUAGGUGCGCAACGUGGGAUCCUCGCUGUUUUGAGCCAGUGUUAAUUCGAGAUGCAAAGCUGGCCAACCUGCUCCAUCUUUCCGAUGCCAGAUGAACGCACAAGCAUCGUGCGCUAUAUGUUGGAGAAUGAAGAAUAUGAGGAUGCUGAUUCCGUAGAUGGACAUCAACUUCCAGUAAUCUUUCGUCAUCAUAAAGAAGAAUAUGGUGAUUAUGGACUAUGAGGAGGAGGAGGUUGGUAAUCCCAAAUACGGAUAUGAUCAAAGAUUACAUAAACAUCCGUUGAUCUUUCAUGAUGAAGAGGAUAGUGGUGAAGCUGAUGAUGAUGAAGACGACGAUGAUGGCACAGGGCAUUCUUCAUCCCGUGUAUGCAAUGCGUGUGUUCAGUUCAUUUCCCCUCCAUUCUACAGCUGUUCCCAAUGUCCGGAUUUUCUUUCUCCACGACUCUUGUUUCAAUCUUCCAGCCAAAAUCAAGCACCCCUUUCAUCCAGACCACAACCCUUUCCCUCUUCACAAAAAGCACCCAACAAAGAUUAUGAUGAAGGCUUCUUCUGCUAUGGUUGCUGGAUGCUGUGCUCUGGAUUCGCCUACUGCUGCAAAACUUGCAAAGACGUCAGCAUGGAUGUUUUGUGCGCACUAAUGCCCUGCCUCAAUCACCCCACGCCUCUCCGGGAAGACGCACAUUCUUUACAAUGUCGCGUUUUUCAGGCACAUGUAGCUGCUGCUGCAGCAACGACUUGCAAAUAGAAUGUUCUAUGAGUGCAGCAAUUGUCGUCAUCUAAAAACUACAUUCUCGCUGCGCUUUGCUUCCCUACUACCAUUAGCCACAAAUUUGAUGCACACCCUCUCACCUAACCACCUCAACUAAGUUAACCACCGAUGAUGAUGAGAUGAUACCCAACAAAUUUGUGAGGUUGUGAAGAGGAUAUCGAUAAAAGGUGUUGGAACUACAGCUGCAACGACUGCGAGCAGUGGCUUCACAUCAACUGCAUUCCCUUUUCUGGAUCGUCGUGUUUCUAGGGUCAAGUUUGGGGUCGGUAGUGUUGGUUUCAAAUGCCAUGACUGCCCCUCACUGGUGUCCGAGAGAGUACACUUGCAGGUUAUCGCUGCGACUGUUGUAAGUCCAAAUUCAGGUAUGAAGACUAUAGGAAGAACAUCGCGCAUAUGAAAUGCUCCAAGUGUUGUUAUAAGAUUACAUGAGACCUGCGCAUGUCUGAGAUUCCGUGAUAAACUUUAGCUGUUUCAAAGAAAUAACAAGUUUCUUCAUAUCCACAGUUUAGUUGCAAGUUUUAUUGUAUUCAUGGUGUUGAUGCAGCCUCUCAUUACAGACAGUGAUGUAUCAGAAUAAUGUGUAUACAGCUUGUUCCUUUUAUAUAUGAAACGUUACAAAUUAUGUUUUCC